rnacentral:rRNA from 1 species
UACGUAGGGUGCGAGCGUUAAGCGGAAUUACUGGGCGUAAAGCGUGCGCAGGCGGUUUUGUAAGCCAGAUGGGAAAUCCCCGGGCUCAACCUGGGAACUGCAUUUGGGACUGCAAGGCUAGAGUACGGCAGAGGGGGGUAGAAUUCCUGGUGUAGCAGUGAAAUGCGUAGAUAUCAGGAGGAAUACCGAUGGCGAAGGCAGCCCCCUGGGUCGAUACUGACGCUCAUGCACGAAAGCGUGGGGAGCAAACAGG